UGGUUGUCGUGAUGGGCGUAUGGUGGAUGCCUUGGCAGACAGUACCGAUGAAGGACGUGUGGGGCCGCGAUAGUCCUGGGGGAGCCGCCGACAUGGCUUUGAUCCCAGGGUGUCCGAAUGGGGCAACCCGCCAGCCGUCAUGGGCUGGCACCGCACUUGUGCGGGGGGUACGCAGGGAAGUGAAACAUCUCAGUACCUGCAGGAGAGGAUACUCCGUGAGUAGUGGCGAGCGAAAGCGGAUGAUGGCUAAACCGUGCGCGUGUGAUACCCGUCGGGGGUUGCGCGCAUGGUGUCGUGGGAACGCCUGUCCAACGGCCGACGCCGUUGGCUGUGGUGAUAAAUGCAUGCGUGAGGCGAACCGGGUUGGAUACCGGGCCGUAGAGGGUGAUGGCCCCGUAGCCGUAUGCGCGUGCACCAUGGAUGGUGUCUCCCGAGUAGCGCGGGACUCGUGGAAUCCCGUGUGAAUCCGCCCGGACCGUCGGGUAAGCCUGAGUAUACCUGUCUGACCGAUAGCGUACGAGUACCGUGAGGGAAAGGUGAAAAGCACCCCGGGAGGGGAGUGAAAGAGUUCCUGAAACCGUGCGCCCGCGAACCGUCGGAGCCCCCUUGGUGGGGUGACGGCGUGCCUAUCGAAAAAUGAGUCUGCGAGUCAGUGGCAUGUGGCGAGCAUAAGCCGUGUGGUGUAUGCGUAGCGAAAGCGAGUCUUAAAAGGCGUCUUUUCAGUCGCGUGUCCUGGACCCGAAGCGGGAUGAUCUAGCCCUGGUCAGGUUGAAGCGCGGGUAAGACCGCGUGGAGGACCGCACCCACUUAGGUUGAAAACUGAGGGGAUGAACUGGGGUUAGGGGUGAAAGGCCAAUCAAAUUCCGUGAUAGCUGGUUCUCUUCGAAAUGCAUUUAGGUGCAGCGUCGGUUGAUUGCGUGUGGGGGGUAGAGCUACUGGAUGCUUGCGGGCCCGUGCCGGGUACCAACAGCAACCAAACUCCGAAUACCCAUCGCGUCUAUUCCGGCAGUGAGUCGGCGGGGGAUAAGCUCCGUCGUCGAGGGGGAGACAGCCCUGACCGUCGUCUAAGGUCCCCAAGCGCGUGCUAAGUGGGAAAGGAUGUGGAGUCGCAUAGACAGCCAGGAGGUUGGCUCAGAAGCAGCCAUCCUUGAAAGAGUGCGUAACAGCUCACUGGUCUAGUGGUUCCGCGCCGACAAUGUAGCGGGGCUCAAGCACGCCACCGAAGACGCGGAUGCGGCCGUAUGGCCGUGUGGUAGGAGAGCGUCCCACACCGGGGCGAAGCGGCGGGGGAACCCGGCCGUGGACUGUGUGGGAGUGAGAAUGCAGACAUGAGUAGCGAGAGCAGGGUGAGGAUCCCUGCCGCUGGAAGACCAAGGGUUCCAGGGCCACGUUCGUCGUCCCUGGGUGAGUCGGGUCCUAAGGCGAGGCCGACAGGCGUAGUCGAAUGGAUGAACGGGUCGAUAUUCCCGUACCGGCUUUCGGACCGACCAACAGCCCGUGUGAACAAGGGCCAUCCGAUACGGUUGAUGGGGGCUUCGGCCUCCUGAUUCCGUUGCUGUUUGGCCUGGACGCGCAUGGGUUGAGCGUUUCAGGAGUGACGCGGACGGGUAGCCGGCCGGGGAGGUGGUUUUCCCUGGUCAAGCGUGUGGCCCCGCCCCCAGGCAAAUCCGGGGGCUUCAUGGGGUGAGGCGUGAUGAUGGGCGCUUUCAUGGCGUGAUAUCCGGUGAUCCCGUCGGCCGAGAAAAGCUUCGGCGCGAGGUCCGUUGCCGCCCGUACCCCAAACCGACACAGGUGGUCUGGUAGAGUAUACCGAAGCGAUCGAGCGAAUCCUGGUCAAGGAACUCGGCAAAUUGCUCCCGUGCCUUCGGCAUAAGGGAGACCCCCGGCCGUGCCGGCCCCUUGCGGGUCGUGGGCGGCUGGGGGUGGCACAGGCCAGGGGGUAGCGACUGUUUACCAAAAACACAGGUGCAUGCCAAGACGCAAGUCGCCGUAUAUGCACUGACGCCUGCCCGGUGCCGGAAGGUUAAGAGGAUCCAUCAGCGUCCCCUCGCGGGAUGCGAAGUGGUGAAUUCAAGCCCCGGUAAACGGCGGUGGUAACUAUAACCAUCCUAAGGUAGCGAAAUUCCUUGUCGGGUAAGUUCCGACCUGCACGAAUGGCGUAACGACUUCCCCGCUGUCUCGACCAGGAGCUCGGCGAAAUUGCAGUACGAGUAAAGAUGCUCGUUAAGCGCAGAAGGACGAAAAGACCCCGGGACCUUUACUAUACCUUG
rnacentral:rRNA from 2 species